rnacentral:rRNA from 2 species
AAAUUGAAGAGUUUGAUCAUGGCUCAGAUUGAACGCUGGCGGCAGGCCUAACACAUGCAAGUCGAGCGGUAGCACAGAGAGCUUGCUCUCGGGUGACGAGCGGCGGACGGGUGAGUAAUGUCUGGGAAACUGCCUGAUGGAGGGGGAUAACUACUGGAAACGGUAGCUAAUACCGCAUAACGUCGCAAGACCAAAGUGGGGGACCUUCGGGCCUCAUGCCAUCAGAUGUGCCCAGAUGGGAUUAGCUGGUAGGUGGGGUAACGGCUCACCUAGGCGACGAUCCCUAGCUGGUCUGAGAGGAUGACCAGCCACACUGGAACUGAGACACGGUCCAGACUCCUACGGGAGGCAGCAGUGGGGAAUAUUGCACAAUGGGCGCAAGCCUGAUGCAGCCAUGCCGCGUGUGUGAAGAAGGCCUUCGGGUUGUAAAGCACUUUCAGCGGGGAGGAAGGCGGUGAGGUUAAUAACCUCAUCGAUUGACGUUACCCGCAGAAGAAGCACCGGCUAACUCCGUGCCAGCAGCCGCGGUAAUACGGAGGGUGCAAGCGUUAAUCGGAAUUACUGGGCGUAAAGCGCACGCAGGCGGUCUGUCAAGUCGGAUGUGAAAUCCCCGGGCUCAACCUGGGAACUGCAUUCGAAACUGGCAGGCUAGAGUCUUGUAGAGGGGGGUAGAAUUCCAGGUGUAGCGGUGAAAUGCGUAGAGAUCUGGAGGAAUACCGGUGGCGAAGGCGGCCCCCUGGACAAAGACUGACGCUCAGGUGCGAAAGCGUGGGGAGCAAACAGGAUUAGAUACCCUGGUAGUCCACGCUGUAAACGAUGUCGAUUUGGAGGUUGUGCCCUUGAGGCGUGGCUUCCGGAGCUAACGCGUUAAAUCGACCGCCUGGGGAGUACGGCCGCAAGGUUAAAACUCAAAUGAAUUGACGGGGGCCCGCACAAGCGGUGGAGCAUGUGGUUUAAUUCGAUGCAACGCGAAGAACCUUACCUGGUCUUGACAUCCACAGAACUUUCCAGAGAUGGAUUGGUGCCUUCGGGAACUGUGAGACAGGUGCUGCAUGGCUGUCGUCAGCUCGUGUUGUGAAAUGUUGGGUUAAGUCCCGCAACGAGCGCAACCCUUAUCCUUUGUUGCCAGCGGUCCGGCCGGGAACUCAAAGGAGACUGCCAGUGAUAAACUGGAGGAAGGUGGGGAUGACGUCAAGUCAUCAUGGCCCUUACGACCAGGGCUACACACGUGCUACAAUGGCAUAUACAAAGAGAAGCGACCUCGCGAGAGCAAGCGGACCUCAUAAAGUAUGUCGUAGUCCGGAUUGGAGUCUGCAACUCGACUCCAUGAAGUCGGAAUCGCUAGUAAUCGUAGAUCAGAAUGCUACGGUGAAUACGUUCCCGGGCCUUGUACACACCGCCCGUCACACCAUGGGAGUGGGUUGCAAAAGAAGUAGGUAGCUUAACCUUCGGGAGGGCGCUUACCACUUUGUGAUUCAUGACUGGGGUGAAGUCGUAACAAGGUAACCGUAGGGGAACCUGCGGUUGGAUCACCUCCUUA